rnacentral:tRNA from 1 species
GGGGCCGUAGGGUAGCUUGGCAAUCCUUCCGGCUUAGGGAGCCGGUGACCCGAGUUCGAAUCUCGGCGGUCCCA